CCUACGGGAGGCUGCAGUGGGGAAUAUUGGACAAUGGGCGAAAGCCUGAUCCAGCCAUGCCGCGUGUGUGAAGAAGGCCUUCGGGUUGUAAAGCACUUUCAGUGGGGAAGAAAGCCUUGGGGCUAAUACCCUCGAGGAAGGACAUCACCCACAGAAGAAGCACCGGCUAACUCCGUGCCAGUAGCCGCGGUAAUACGGAGGGUGCGAGCGUUAAUCGGAAUUACUGGGCGUAAAGCGCGCGUAGGCGGUCUGAUAAGCCGGUUGUGAAAGCCCCGGGCUCAACCUGGGAACGGCAUCCGGAACUGUCAGGCUAGAGUGCAGGAGAGGAAGGUAGAAUUCCCGGUGUAGCAGUGAAAUGCGUAGAGAUCGGGAGGAAUACCAGUGGCGAAGGCGGCCUUCUGGACUGACACUGACGCUGAGGUGCGAAAGCGUGGGUAGCAAACAGGAUUAGAUACCCGAGUAGUC
rnacentral:rRNA from 1 species